rnacentral:ncRNA from 2 species
UACACAAGCUAGGGGUGCCCCAAUGGGGGGCUGAGAACAUACCCUGAGAACCUGAACCGGCUCAUACCGGCGGAGGGAAGCUGUUUUUUUGAGGU